AGCGUAGGCGGCGUGGUAAGUCAGAUGUGAAAUCCCAGGGCUCAACCCCGGAACUGCAUCCGAUACUGCCGUGCUAGAGGAUUGGAGAGGUAGCUGGAAUUCACGGUGUAGCAGUGAAAUGCGUAGAUAUCGUGAGGAACACUCGUGGCGAAAGCGAGCUACUGGACAACCUCCUGACGCUGAGGCUCGGAAGCCAGGGGUAGCGGAAAG
rnacentral:rRNA from 1 species